AUUGAACGCUGGCGGCAGGCCUAACACAUGCAAGUCGAACGAGUGGCGGACGGGUGAGUAAUGUCUGGGAAACUGCCUGAUGGAGGGGGAUAACUACUGGAAACGGUAGCUAAUACCGCAUACCAUCGGAUGUGCCCAGGUGGGAUUAGCUAGUAGGGGGGGUAAAGGCUCACCUAGGCGACGAUCCCUAGCUGGUCGGAGGGGCUGACGAGCCACCGGGGAACUGAGACACGGGCCAGACGCCUACGGGAGGCAGCAGUGGGGAAUAUGGCACAAUGGGCGCAAGCCUGAGGCAGCCAUGCCGCGUGUAUGAAGAAGGCCUUCGGGUUGUAAAGUACUUUUAGCGGGGAGGCGUUACCCGCAGAAGAAGCACCGGCUAACUCCGUGCCAGCAGCCGCGGUAAUUC
rnacentral:rRNA from 1 species